rnacentral:rRNA from 1 species
CGGGUGAGUACAACAUAGGAAAUCUGCCUUAGGGUGGGGGACAACAGAGGGAAACUUCCGCUAAUACCCCAUAUGAGCUUGGUUGAAAUACCAAUCUUGAAAGUUCCGGCGCCCUAAGAUGAGCCUGUGCCUGAUUAGCUAGUUGGUGGUGUAAUGGACUACCAAGGCGACGAUCAGUAGCUGGUUUGAGAGGAUGAUCAGCCACAAUGGGACUGAGACACGGCCCAUACUCCUACGGGAGGCAGCAG